rnacentral:snoRNA from 1 species
UCCUGCAUCCCGAAAGUGAUCACGGGCCACCCAUGCCCUGGUCAUUGAUACCACAGGGAGAGGAACGCUGAAAGAAGUUUCCCCGUGUUUGAAGGGUCCAGAUGUCCCUUCCAAACCCUGGAGCUUUCCCACA